UGUGCAAGACCUCAUUUACUCUUCACAACAGUGGAGGUUAGAGCAAUUAUUACCAUCCCAUUUCACUUGUGAGCAAAUGCUCAGGGGUUAAGUGCCUUGCUCAAGAUUACUCUGCUGGGUGACAGAACCUGCCUAUAGACCCAGGGCUUUUAUUGCAACACAAAGCUGUGAUGCUUUGUGUGUAUAGUAAUAGACUUUGCUCUGGUCGAGAGACAGGCAGUUGUAUCAAUAGGCUUCAUAGAAGAGAGUGACAUUUGAGCUGGAUUUUGAGAAGCUUGAGGAUUGUGUCAAGGAAGGGCAAGGGUACCAUUCAUUCCAGGCAGAGGAAUAAGGUCAUUUCCACAGUCCUGGCCAGAAGCUGGGGUAAGACAUAAGAAAUUCUGGAGUCCUUUGAGCUGUUUGUUAUCUCCCGUUACUGGUGAGUGGCUGAAACUGUUUAGCCUGGACGGUGCUGACGGACAGAGGAGGGCAGACAUGGAAGCUGCUGUACAAGGUCUUUUCUUUGUUGGUUUUGUACAUCUUAGCAUUUGCGUCAUACAAAGUGGGGAGCACGGCCAUGGCUUUUGGUCAGGUUCAAGGGGAGGGAAGUGACCCUCCCCUCCCCCAGGUACUGACACAUUUAAAGGAAGCAGAGCAACAAAGACAGAGCACAAAUAUGGGAAAGGGGUUCCCCCACAUGAGCAGGAUGGUCCAUCUCACCUGGGUCUCAGUAGGACUCCCCAGCCCCGUCCUGGAGCAAGCAGGAGCACUUCCGUUCUCUCUCUGGUGAAACAGGGCAGCAGGAAUGGGGGCUAGAGCAGGGGACAUGUGUUGGGAGGCAUAUCCUCUGACCUGGGAGGCAUUCUCAUGGGAGUCAUUCUGACUUCUAGCUUCCUGGUACAUUCGGGGGCUGGCAGAACCUUAGACAGAUGGAAAAGUGGAGCUGUGGAUGGGCAACCCUGACAGCUGGAUGCUGGGCACUCCUGGGGCUGGGAACGUCAUGCCACUUAACUCUAGUUACAAGCCUUUGAGAUGGCUGGUUUGCACAACAGCUACAGCUACAGCACCCAGGGGCCCUGCACUGCAACCCUUCUGUUUGUUUCCUGCUUUCACUUUCUCUUUCUGUCAUAUGACUGGGAUGGCCUAUAGACUUCUUGCUUCCAUUGAAGAAAUGCCCCAUGAAGCUUUGUUGCCAAGGACACUGUCCAGUGCUUUGGACCUGGAAUGGAGGACAGUCACUUUGGAAAUUCUGUCCCAUUACUGGGAUAAGCACAUGGAGAUCCCUGGAGCCUGGAGACUCCCCAAGAUUACACAUGCUCACGUGGGUAGUGCAUGACCCCUUGUACCUCAUUCUGUCUAUUCUAUCUUCAGUCACCUCCCAUGCCGUGUGUGUGUGUGUGUGUGUGUGUGUGUGUGUGAAUUUUGGUACCUCCCUCCAGUGUGCCACAUGUACACUGCAUUUCUGA